rnacentral:rRNA from 1 species
ACUCCUACGGGAGGCAGCAGUGGGGAAUAUUGCACAAUGGGCGCAAGCCUGAUGCAGCCAUGCCGCGUGUGUGAAGAAGGCCUUCGGGUUGUAAAGCACUUUCAGUUGUGAGGAAGGUGGUGUCGUUAAUAGCGGCAUCAUUUGACGUUAGCAACAGAAGAAGCACCGGCUAACUCCGUGCCAGCAGCCGCGGUAAUACGGAGGGUGCGAGCGUUAAUCGGAAUUACUGGGCGUAAAGCGCAUGCAGGUGGUUUGUUAAGUCAGAUGUGAAAGCCCGGGGCUCAACCUCGGAACUGCAUUUGAAACUGGCAGACUAGAGUACUGUAGAGGGGGGUAGAAUUUCAGGUGUAGCGGUGAAAUGCGUAGAGAUCUGAAGGAAUACCGGUGGCAAGGCGGCCCCCUGGACAGAUACUGACACUCAGAUGCGAAAGCGUGGGGAGCAAACAGGAUUAGAUACCCUGGUAGCACAGAG